rnacentral:misc_RNA from 1 species
UCCAGCUUAUCGCUGGCGGUCUCCUGAGAGUGCACCUUUCGGUUAGCAACACAGGACAAGGGUUGCGCUCGUUGCGGGACUUAACCCAACAUCUCACGACACGAGCUGACGACAGCCAUGCAGCACCUCGACUCCUGUCCCUUGCGGGAAAACUUCUGUUUCCAAAAGUCGUCAGAAGCCGUUCGAGCCCAGGUAAGGUUCUUCGCGUUGCGUCGAAUUAAACCACAUGCUCCACCGCUUGUGCGGGCCCCCGUCAAUUCCUUUGAGUUUCAGCCUUGCGGCCGUACUCCCCAGGCGGGGCACUUACUGCGUUAGCGACGGCACCGGGAGGGUCGCUCCCCCCGACGCCUAGUGCCCAUCGUUUACGGCGUGGACUAC